CCGCAACAGCAGCCGGCCGGGCACCUGCCUUCGGCGGGGUGGAGUCGGAGAGGAGUGCUGGGGAGGGGGCGGGUAGAAGAGGCGGCUUCGGGUUGGCCCAAAGGCACUCAGAAGGUGGGGGUUGAGCAAGGGGCGGCAGGGAAUUCUACAGGGGAUCUUGCUUGGGACUGAAGUGUCGUGUGUGUGUGUGUGUGUGUGUGUGUGUGUGUGUGUGUGUGAUGCGCCCUCCGUGCUCGCCUAGCAAUUGCGCGCGCGUGCGCUCUGCGUGUACACCCUUCACACUAGCCACAUCACACUACACGCUUGGUAAAUAAUAAGUGGAGCCAGGAUGCGGCUGAGUGACACCUUACGUUCUUUCGGUGUGACUGGAUUGUUACCCAGGGCGGUGGCUCCCAAGCCGGGAAAUCAAUUAAUGUUUUCCUUCUCCGCUAGGCUUUUCCAAAUCCACAUCCCCCAAGAUGAAGGCGGGCAGGACCGCCUUUGAAAAGUGGAUCUUAAUAAAAAUAAUCUCACAAGCCGGUCUCUGGGGUUCCCAGAGCCUGCACAUCCUCCCCUUUUCCUCUUUUUGCAGGCUGCAACCUGCAAAAAGAUCGACUUUUUGCAGGUUUGGAGAUCGACUACCUCUUGCAAAGCUAGAGGGGCUGGCCCCUGCGCCACUCAAACCCUGCAGGGUUUGCGGGGACUGAGGCUGAACACAGGAAGCUCUCCGGCCUCCUGGCAAGCGCGGACGCACUCCUCUCCUGCACUAUAGUGACUGAAAUUUGCACUUCAGAAAACUCAUGUUAGGGUGCUCGUGAGUAACGGAAAGGGACAGGGAGGGAGAAGGGGAUUGCCCCCGUAACUAAACUGUCUCCGUAACUAAACUACGCCAAAUAAACAUUGUUUAGCCAAGUUUUAACCCCUUUUGGAGAGAAUCAAUAGCCAGUUUGACGUCUUAGAACCCAGACUUUUAUGUAGUUUAUUUAACUUUUUUUUUUUUUAACUAAAGAUCAGGUAACUCUUUCCAAAAAGAAACUCAGUCUAAGGGGGUAGAACUGUUCUGAUUGAACAAGUAGCUGUGUCAAUCAUUUCAACCCUAGACUCCUGGCGCCGAGAAUUUGGGGGCGGCGCAACCCGGGGGCGGGGCAAGCGGAGGCGAGGCUCCCAGUGCG
rnacentral:lncRNA from 10 species